GACGAACGCUGGCGGCGUGCUUAACACAUGCAAGUCGAACGGGCCUUGUCCCCUUUUUUUUUGGGGGUGGGGUUAGUGGCGAACGGGUGAGUAACACGUGAGUAACCUGCCCCUCACUUCUGGAUAACCGCUUGAAAGGGUGGCUAAUACGGGGUGUUCUGGCCUGCUCGCAUGGGUGGGUUUGGAAAGAUUCGACCGGUUUUGGUUGUUUUGGUGGGGGUUGGGGUCGCGGCCUAUCAGCUUGUUGGUGGGGUGAUGGCCUGCCAAGGCUUUGACGGGUAGCCGGCCUGAGAGGGUGGGCGGUCACACUGGGACUGAGACACGGCCCAGACUCCUACGGGAGGCAGCAGUGGGGAAUAUUGCACAAGGGGCGCAAGCCUGAUGCAGCGACGCCGCGUGAGGGAUGGAGGCCUUCGGGUUGUGAACCUCUUUCGCCAGUGAAGAAGGUCCUGCUCUUUGUGGUGGGGUUGACGGUAGCUGGGUUAAUGAAGCGCCGGCUAACUACGUG
rnacentral:rRNA from 1 species